GACAGAGGGUGCAAGCGUUGUUCGGAAUCAUUGGGCGUAAAGGGCGCGUAGGCGGUUUGAUAAGUCAGAUGUGAAAGCCCAGGGCUCAACCUUGGAAGUGCAUCUGAAACUGUCGAACUAGAGUCUCGGAGAGGGUGGUGGAAUUCCCAGUGUAGAGGUGAAAUUCGUAGAUAUUGGGAAGAACACCGGUGGCGAAGGCGGCGACCUGGUCCUUGACUGACGCUGAGGCGCGAAAGCGUGGGGAGCAAACAGG
rnacentral:rRNA from 1 species